rnacentral:rRNA from 1 species
UACGAAGGGGGGCUAGCGUUGCUCGGAAUCACUGGGCGUAAAGGGUGCGUAGGCGGGUCUUUUAAGUCAGGGGGUGAAAUCCUGGAGCUCAACUCCAGAACUGCCUUUGAUACUGAAGAUCUUGAGUUCGGGAGAGGUGAGUGGAACUGCGAGUGUAGAGGUGAAAUUCGUAGAUAUUCGCAAGAACACCAGUGGCGAAGGCGGCUCACUGGCCCGAUACUGACGCUGAUGCACGAAAGCGUGGGGAGCAAACAGGAU